GAUGAACGCUAGCGAUAGGCUUAACACAUGCAAGUCGAGGGGCAGCACAAGGUAGCUUGCUAUCUGGGUGGCGACCGGCGCACGGGUGCGUAACGCGUAUGCAACUUGCCCUAUACAGGAGGAUAACCCGUCGAAAGACGGACUAAUACUGCGUAUGCUCACAACUUGGCAUCAAGUGGUGAGGAAAGAAAUUCGGUAUAGGAUAGGCAUGCGUCCCAUUAGCUUGUUGGUGAGGUAACGGCUCACCAAGGCAACGAUGGGUAGGGGAACUGAGAGGUUUUUCCCCCACACUGGUACUGAGACACGGACCAGACUCCUACGGGAGGCAGCAGUGAGGAAUAUUGGUCAAUGGGCGCGAGCCUGAACCAGCCAAGUCGCGUGAAGGAUGACUGUCUUAUGGAUUGUAAACUUCUUUUAUACGGGAAUAACAAGAGUCACGUGUGACUCCCUGCAUGUACCGUAUGAAUAAGCAUCGGCUAACUCCGUG
rnacentral:rRNA from 1 species